rnacentral:rRNA from 1 species
UACAGAGGUCUCAAGCGUUGUUCGGAUUCAUUGGGCGUAAAGGGUGCGUAGGCGGCGCGGUAAGUCGGGUGUGAAAUCUCGGAGCUUAACUCCGAAACUGCAUUCGAUACUGCCGUGCUUGAGGACUGGAGAGGAGACUGGAAUUUACGGUGUAGCGGUGAAAUGCGUAGAUAAUCGUAAGGAAGACCAGUGGCGAAGGCGGGUCUCUGGACAGUUCCUGACGCUGAGGCACGAAGGUCAGGGGAGCAAACGGGAUUAGAGUA